rnacentral:rRNA from 1 species
AGUGAACGCUGGCGGUAGGCCUAACACAUGCAAGUCGAACGGCAGCACAGUAAGAGCUUGCUCUUACGGGUGGCGAGUGGCGGACGGGUGAGGAAUACAUCGGAAUCUACUUUUUCGUGGGGGAUAACGUAGGGAAACUUACGCUAAUACCGCAUACGACCUACGGUUGAAAUCAGGGGAUCUUCGGACCUUUCGCGAUUGAAUGAGCCGAUGUCGGAUUAGCUAGUUGGCGGGUUAAAGGCCCACCAAGGCGACGAUCCGUAGCUGGUCUGAGAGGAUGAUCAGCAACACUGGAACUGAGACACGGUCAAGACGCCUACGGGAGGAAGCAGUGGGGAAUAUUGGACAAUGGGGGAAAGCCUGAUCAAGCAAUACCGCGUGGGUGAAGAAGGCCUUCGGGUUGUAAAGCCCUUUUGUUGGGAAAGAAAAGCAGCAGGUUAAUAACCCGCUGUUCUGACGGUACCCAAAGAAUAAGCACCGGCUAACUUCGUG